GAUCCAGAGGUCAUGGAAUUGCAAUAAAGCACUGUCUACUUUAUAUGACAGCCCUGCUGCUUUUAGGAACUCUGGGAUGAAGCCAUGCUAGUCCUUCUAGCAUGGAAGGGAAAGGAGCUCAGUGGCCCCUCCCCCAACUGAGAAGCUGUUGACAGUUGGUGGCUUCUAGAAGAGAGUCAGUUUUCCUUAAUGUGACCAUGCAAUGGAAAUGUGAACUACUGCCCUGUGUAUCUUCAUGUGGCCUUUGAAGAUGUUUCAUCAUCUUUGGGGAAAGGACAGAGUGUUACAUUUCAGCACUAGUGUGUGCUAGUGACGCUGUAUUUGUUCAGCAAAAGCAGAAAGACAACACCACAGUGUUCUAAUAAGCCAUCCAUAUGCCCUGUCUGAUGAGAUUUACAAAAUUACAAAUAGAGGCCACUCUUCCUUGUAGAAUCAAUAUAGUGACUGAAAAAUAUAGAAUGAUGACGGCAUGUUUUCAUUAUUGGCAGAUGUUUACAGAAAAUGCUAAGAUUUAAACCUCCCGUAGGCUGCGCCUGUUCAGUGAUGCCCGCAUGUGUGUUCUCAGGUCUGAAUACCAGGUACUGGAUAACCAGAGACUCCAACAAACGGCAAAGAUACAAACCAUGGACAGAGGUGCACCGAUCUUCAGGAGGAGGUCUGAGCAUACAGAUAUGUGCUGUAUACAUGGAGCUCCCUAAACAUCCUGUUUGCAGAUGACCACUUGCUCCCAGAUGCAGAAUCCCCCAACAAAAAGGAAUCAUCUUCCCAGAAAGUUCUCCAGAAAAGACCAAGGGAAACUCACUGACCUGGCUUGAGUCGAAUGGUUUGCCACAACCAAUCAGACCUUAAUACUGAUGGCUUCAAGGAAGAGGAAAACAGCUUACACACAACAAGGGCAGCUGCACAUAAAAUAUGUGUAGUAGAUUCCUCAUGAAUGAACUUCCGGUAGAAGAGGAAAGGGGGAAAAUACAGGACAGGAAGAGAGAAGAUGCUCAUGCCAUCAUUCCCAUCAGGGCAUGCAGUGGAAGGAAUACUGGCCCUGGCUCUAUUUUUUGGAUAACGAAGACAGCUAAUUCCUAAAUGAGGGGAAAACAGAGAUGCUAUGCCAUUUUCAUUAUAAAUCAGAAACUUUUCUUCUUUCUCAACCCAAUGGAAAUCACCGACAACCUAUUACUUGACUCAUAAGAGUACUAUAUUAAUAUAUUUAAUAGAAUUAUUUUCAAAUUCA